GAUGAACGCUAGCGGCAGGCUUAAUACAUGCAAGUCGUGGGGCAGCGCAGUGUAGCAAUACAUGGGCGGCGACCGGCAAACGGGUGCGGAACACGUACACAACCUUCCUUCAAAUGGGGAAUAGCCCAGGGAAACUUGGAUUAAUACCCCGUAACAUUAUGAGGUGGCAUCACUUUAUAAUUAUAGCUCCGGCGUUUGGAGAUGGGUGUGCGGCUGAUUAGGUAGUUGGCGGGGAACGGCCCACCAAGCCUUCGAUCAGUAACUGGUGUGAGAGCACGACCAGUCACACGGGCACUGAGACACGGGCCCGACUCCUACGGGAGGCAGCAGUAAGGAAUAUUGGGCAAUGGACGCAAGUCUGACCCAGCCAUGCCGCGUGGAGGAUGAAGGUCCUCUGG
rnacentral:rRNA from 1 species